rnacentral:rRNA from 1 species
AAUGAACGUUGGCGGCGUGGAUUAGGCAUGCAAGUCGAGCGUGUACCCGCAAGGGGAAAGCGGCAAACGGGGUAGGAACGCGUAGGUCACGUACCCCUCGGCCGGGGAUAGCCACGGGAAACUGNGGGUAAUACCCGAUGACGCCGAGAGGCCAAAGGUGUGAUUCCGCCGGGGGAGCGGCCUGCGUAGUAUUAGCUAGUUGGUGAGGUAACGGCUCACCAAGGCGAAGAUGCUUAGGGGGUGUGAGAGCAUGACCCCCACCACUGGGACUGAGAUACUGCCCAGACACCUACGGGUGGCUGCAGUCGAGAGUCUUCGGCAAUGGGGGCAACCCUGACCGAGCGACGCCGCGUGUGGGAUGAAGGCCCUUGGGUUGUAAACCACUGUCAGAGGGGAUGAAACGAUCAUGGGUUCUCCCAUGGUCCUGACAUAGCCCUCAGAGGAAGCACGGGCUAAGUUCGUGCCAGCAGCCGCGGUAAUACGAACUGUGCAAACGUUAUUCGGAAUCACUGGG